UUAUUUUUUUCGCAGAAAACGAAUUAACAUCAUGCAAAAUAAUUUUCAAACGAAAUUUGAAAAAUUAAAUGACGAAUUACAACUAUCAGAUAAAUCAUAUGAUAUUGUUACAAAAAGAAAAAUAGAACUAAAAAUAUUUUUUACUUUUUAUGUUGUUGGUAUUAAACAUUUGUUAGCUAAUCACUUAUAUUCCUUUUAUGAAAAUACAUAUAACAACUUAAUUUUUUUCCUUUACCUUUUGAAUUUACUACCUGCGGAUUCCACUUUACAACAACACCCUUCACAGCAACAGGGUACUUUAAAUGAAAAUAAUAAUCUUACAAGCGAGCGAAAAAUUUGUUACUUAAAAAUUGACUACCGUGAUAUGUCCUCCGAAUAUGACCUCAAUGACAUUAUAAAAAAAAUAAGAAACACGUACAGUGUCGAUGACGACAAAAAGGAUCUUGAUAUAAAAGAAGACAAUAUGAAUAAUAUGAAAAAAGGCGUGCUUUAUAUGGCUUAUUAUGAAGAUAAUACCUUUUUUUGUUAAUAAAUUAGAAAAAAAAAUAAGUAAAUAUAUGUCAAAGUUGUAUACUUAUAUGGAAAAACUUUUGGACGUGAAAAAAAAAGAAACAAUCAAACUAAUUUCAAAUGAUAUGAAAUUACAUAGAAAGUAUUAUGAAUGUAAAAACGAAUGAAUGACAAAAAGAGGAUAAGCUGUGAUCUAUGCAUUAAAAAAAAAAAAAAAAUAAAAAAAAAAAAAAAAAAAUAGUACGUAUAUAG